rnacentral:rRNA from 1 species
AGUGAACGCUGGCGGUAGGCCUAACACAUGCAAGUCGAACGGCAGCACAGUAAGAGCUUGCUCUUACGGGUGGCGAGUGGCGGACGGGUGAGGAAUACAUCGGAAUCUACUUUUUCGUGGGGGAUAACGUAGGGAAACUUACGCUAAUACCGCAUACGACCUACGGGUGAAAGCAGGGGAUCUUCGGACCUUGCGCGAUUGAAUGAGCCGAUGUCGGAUUAGCUAGUUGGCGGGGUAAAGGCCCACCAAGGCGACGAUCCGUAGCUGGUCUGAGAGGAUGAUCAGCCACACAGGAACUGAGACACGGUCCAGGGUCCGACGGGAGGCAGCAGUGGGGAAUAUUGGACAGUGGGCGCAAGCCUGAUCCAGCCAUACCGCGUGGGUGAAGAAGGCCUUCGGGUUGUAAAGCCCUUUUGUUGGGAAAGAAAAGCAGCAGGUUAAUACCCCGCUGUUCUGACGGUACCCAAAGAAUGCGCAGCGGCUAACUUCGU